rnacentral:rRNA from 1 species
GAGCGGCGAACGGGUGAGUAACACGUGAGUAACCUGCCCUCAACUUCGGGAUAAGCCUGGGAAACCGGGUCUAAUACCGGGUAGGACCUGACNNGGCAUCGNGNUNGGUGGAAAGAUUUUUUGGUUGGGGAUGGGCUCGCGGCCUAUCAGCUUGUUGGUGGGGUAGUGGCCUACCAAGGCGACGACGGGUAGCCGGCCUGAGAGGGCGACCGGCCACACUGGGACUGAGACACGGCCCAGACUCCUACGGGAGGCAGCAGUGGGGAAUAUUGCGCAAUGGGCGGAAGCCUGACGCAGCGACGCCGCGUGGGGGAUGACGGCCUUCGGGUUGUAAACCUCUUUCAGCAGGGACGAAGUUGACGUGUACCUGUAGAAGAAGCGCCGGCUAACUACGUGCCAGCAGCCGCGGUAAUACGUAGGGCGCAAGCGUUGUCCGGAAUUAUUGGGCGUAAAGAGCUCGUAGGUGGCUUGUCGCGUCUGCCGUGAAAGCCCAUGGCUUAACUGUGGGUCUGCGGUGGAUACGGGCUGGCUAGAGGUAGGUAGGGNCAAGCGGAAUUCCU